rnacentral:sRNA from 1 species
GCCUGGCAUGGUGGCACAUGCCUGUAAUCCCAGUGACUUGGGAGGCUGAGGCAGGAGGAUAUCAAGUUCAAAGCCAGCCUCAGCAAAAAGUGAAGCACUAAGCAACCGAGUGAGACCCUGUCUCUA